rnacentral:lncRNA from 1 species
GUCUUUGGGAAUCGAAGAAAGAACUCACUCUCCACAGUGCUCUUGCAGCCUUCGGGAGCAUCUCUUACAAAGGCCUGUGAAACGCAGUUUCUUUGCAGGCCUGAUCUGGCUGAAGUAGAACUUCUGCUCUGGGUGUGCUACAUUGCCCUAGAGCUGAAAGGCACAAAGUGCUUCAUCUUUGCAAAGGGUGAGGUUGGCCCCAGAGCAUCUUGCUUCCAGCUCUUGGGGAAGCUAAGAAACAACUCGCUCUGCACAGUGCUCUUACAGCCUACCGGGAACAUCUCUUACAAAGGCCUAUGAAAUGCAGUUUCUUUGCAGGCCUGAUCUGGCUGAAGUAGAACUUCUGCUCUGGGUGUGCUACAUUGCCCUAGAGCUGCAAGGCAGAAAGUGCAGUCUUUUUUCCAAAGGGCGAGUUGGGCCCCAAAGCAUCCUGCUUCCAGCUGUUUGGGAAGCUUAAUAACAACUCGCUCUGCACAGUGCUCUUACAGCCUACCGGGAACUUCUCUUACAAAGGCCUGUGAAACGCAGUUUCUUUGCAGGCCUCAUCUGGCUGAAGUAGAACUUCUGCUCUCGGUGUGCUACAUUGCCCUAGAGAUGCAAGGCACAAAGUGCUGUCUUCUUUCCAAAGGGCGAGUUGGGCCCCAGACGAUCUUCCUUCCAGCUCUUUGGGAAGCUAAGACACAACUCGCUCUGCACAGUGCUCUUACAGCCUACCGGGAACAUCUCUUACAAAGGCCUGUGAAAUGCAGUUUCUUUGCAGGCCUGAUCUGGCUGAAGUAGAACUUCUGCUCUAGGUGUGCUACAUUGCCCCAGCUCUGAAAGACACAAAGUACUUCUUCUUUACAACGGGCGUGUUGGGCCUCAGAGCAUCUUGCUUGAAGCUCUUUGGGAAGCUAAGAAACAACUCGCUCUGCACAGUGCUCUUUCAGCCUACCGGGAACAUCUCUUACAAAGGCCUGUGAAACGCAGUUACUUUGCAGGCCUGAUCUGGCUGAAGUAGAACUUCUGCUCUGGGUGUGCUAUAUUGCCCUAGAGAUUGAAGGCACAAACUGCUGGCUUCUUUCCAAAGGGCGAGUUGGGCCCCAAAGCAUCUUGCUUCCAGUUCUUUGGGAAGCUACGAAACAACUCGCUCUGCACAGUGCUCUUACAGCCUACCGGGAACAUCUCUUACAAAUGCCUGUGAAACGCAGUUUUCUUUGCAGGCCUGAUCUGGCUGAAGUAGAACUUCUGCUCUGGGUGUGCUACAUUGCCCUAGAGCUGAAAGGCACAACGUGCAGGCUUCUUUCCAAAGGGCGAGUUGGGCCCCAAAGCAUCUUGCUUCCAGCUCUUUGGGAAGCUAGAAAACAACUCGCUCUG